rnacentral:rRNA from 1 species
UCGAUGGGAAACAGGUUAAUAUUCCUGUACUUGGUGUUACUGCGAAGGGGGGACGGAGAAGGCUAUGUUAGCCGGGCGACGGUUGUCCCGGUUUAAGCAUGUAGGCUGGUUGUCCAGGCAAAUCCGGAUAAUCAAGGCUGAGGUGUGAUGACGAGGCACUACGGUGCUGAAGUAACAAAUGCCCUGCUUCCAGGAAAAGCCUCUAAGCAUCAGGUAACAUCAA